rnacentral:rRNA from 1 species
CUUAAUACGGGGGGCUAAUGACGGUACCGUAAGAAUAAGCACCGGCUAACUACGUGCCAGCAGCCGCGGUAAUACGUAGGGUGCGAGCGUUAAUCGGAAUUACUGGGCGUAAAGCGUGCGCAGGCGGUUAUAUAAGACAGAUGUGAAAUCCCCGGGCUCAACCUGGGACCUGCAUUUGUGACUGUAUAGCUAGAGUACGGUAGAGGGGGAUGGAAUUCCGCGUGUAGCAGUGAAAUGCGUAGAUAUGCGGAGGAACACCGAUGGCGAAGGCAAUCCCCUGGACCUGUACUGACGCUCAUGCACGAAAGCGUGGGGAGC